rnacentral:rRNA from 1 species
GUAGGUGGCAAGCGUUGUCCGGGGAUUAUUGGGGCGUAAAGCGCGCGCAGGUGGUUCUUUAAGUCUGAUGUGAAUGACCCCCGGGCUCAACCGGGGAGGGUCAUUGGAAACUGGGGAACUUGAGUGCAGGAGAGGAAAGUGGAAUUCCACGUGUAGCGGUGAAAUGCGUAGAUAUGUGGAGGAACACCAGUGGCGAAGGCGACUUUCUGGCCUGUAACUGACACUGAGGCGCGAAAGCGUGGGGAGCAAACAGGAUUAGAUACCCUGGUAGUCCACGCCGUAAACGAUGAGUGCUAAGUGUUGGGGGGUUUCCGCCCCUCAGUGCUGCAGCUAACGCAUUAAGCACUCCGCCUGGGGAGUACGGUCGCAAAGACUG